GAUGAACGCUGGCGGCGUGCCUAGUACAUGCAAGUCGAGCGAACAGAUGAGGAGCUUGCUCCUCUGACGUUAGCGGCGGACGGGUGAGUAACACGUGGAUAACCUACCUAUAAGACUGGGAUAACUUCGGGAAACCGGAGCUAAUACCGGAUAAUAUAUUGAACCGCAUGGUUCAAUAGUGAAAGACGGUUUUGCUGUCACUUAUAGAUGGAUCCGCGCCGCAUCAGCUAGUUGGUAAGGUAACGGCUUACCAAGGCAACGAUGCGUAGCCGACCUGAGAGGGUGAUCGGCCACACUGGAACUGAGACACGGUCCAGACUCCUACGGGAGGCAGCAGUAGGGAAUCUUCCGCAAUGGGCGAAAGCCUGACGGAGCAACGCCGCGUGAGUGAUGAAGGUCUUCGGAUCGUAAAACUCUGUUAUUAGGGAAGAACAAAUGUGUAAGUAACUAUGCACGUCUUGACGGUACCUAAUCAGAAAGCCACGGCUAACUACGUG
rnacentral:rRNA from 1 species